rnacentral:tRNA from 6 species
UGCGAAGGUGGCGGAAUUGGUAGACGCGCUAGCUUCAGGUGUUAGUGUCCUUACGGACGUGGGGGUUCAAGUCCCCCCCCUCGCACC